rnacentral:rRNA from 1 species
UACGUAGGGUGCAAGCGUUGUCCGGAAUUAUUGGGCGUAAAGAGCUCGUAGGCGGUCUGUUGCGUCGGCUGUGAAAACCCGGGGCUCAACCCCGGGCCUGCAGCCGAUACGAGCAGACUAGAGUUCGGCAGGGGAGACUGGAAUUCCUGGUGUAGCGGUGAAAUGCGCAGAUAUCAGGAGGAACACCGGUGGCGAAGGCGGCUCUCUGGACCACAACUGACGCUGGAGGCGACGAAAGCUAGGGGAGCAAACAGG